rnacentral:rRNA from 1 species
GAUGAACGCUGGCGGCGUGCUUAACACAUGCAAGUCGAACGAAGAUUGUUAGAAUGAGAGCUUCGGCAGGAUUUCUUUCCAUCUUAGUGGCGGACGGGUGAGUAACGUGUGGGCAACCUGCCCUGUACUGGGGAAUAAUCAUUGGAAACGAUGACUAAUACCGCAUAGGCGCGGACGGGACAUCCCGUCCACGUUAAACGUCCUUACGGGGACGGCUGAAGGAUGGGCCUGUGGCGCAUUAGCUUGUUGGCGGGGCAACGGCCCACCAAGGCGACGAUGCGUAGCCGGCCUGAGAGGGCGACGGCCACGACUGGGACUGAGACACGGCCCAG